rnacentral:rRNA from 1 species
GACGAACGCUGGCGGCGUGCUUAACACAUGCAAGUCGAACGAUGAAGCUGGAGCUUGCUCCGGUGGAUUAGUGGCGAACGGGUGAGUAACACGUGAGCAAUCUGCCCUUGACUCUGGGAUAACUGCGGGAAACUGCAACUAAUACCGGAUAUGAGGCUCGAAGGCAUCUUCGGGUCUGGAAAGAAUUUCGGUCUAGGAUGAGCUCGCUGCCUAUCAGCUUGUUGUUGAGGUAAUGGCUCACCAAGGCGACGACGGGUAGCCGGCCUGAGAGGGGGCCCGGCCACACUGGGAAGGAGACACGGCCCAGAUUCCUACGGGAGGCAGCAGUGGGGAAUAUUGAACAAUGGGCGAAAGCCUGAUGCAGAAACGCCGCGUGAGGGAUGAAGGCCUUCGGGUUGUAAACCUCUUUUAGCAGGGAAGAAGCGAAAGUGACGGUACCUGCAGAAAAAGCACCGGCUAACUACGUGCCAGCCGCCGCCGUAA